rnacentral:sRNA from 1 species
AUCACUGUUCUGGGAGAUCAAAAGAACAUACACAUUCAUAUAUGUGAAAACUACAAUAAAUCAAAUCACUGAGGGCUAUGGAUUGAGCUUUCUAGCACUUGAACCACUUCUGAUUUUUCAAGUUUGCAAAAACUGAUUUUAGUGGCUGAUUUGACUACUAGGAGUGAUAGGGGUUUUUGUGUUUGUUUCUUUUUUUUACUUAAAUGAUAAUAUCAGAAAUUAAAACAUGCUUUUAAAUCCAACUUGAUUUUAAAAUGCAACUUGUGGUUUCUCAGGUUGUGAGUCAGAAGCGACAAACGUUUUAAAAUAUAAAAUACUUAAAAUAGUCAACAUUUAGUGAUGAAUUCAAGUUCUCCUUAAAGAUUUUUGUCUGAACAAGUGCACUGUGUGUAACAAGCAUUUUUAAAAUAUUACACAACUGAAAAUAGAUCACAACCCUUUUGCAAAAGGAUUUCGGGAUAAUUAUGACACGAUCUACACCGGCUGUGACAUGGACCGCCUGACCCCCUCGCCCAACGACUCGCCGCGCUCGCAGAUCGUGCCCGGGGCCCGCUACGC